UGGGGGUUUAGCUCAGCUGGGAGAGCACCUGCUUUGCAAGCAGGAGGUCAACGGUUCGAUCCCGUUAACCUCCAU
rnacentral:tRNA from 2 species